rnacentral:misc_RNA from 1 species
GAUGAAGAACGUAGCGAAAUGCGAUAAAUAAUGUGAAUUGCAGAAUUCAGUGAAUCAUCGAAUCUUUGAACGCACAUUGCGCCCGCUAGUAUUCUGGCGGGCAUGCCUGUCCGAGCGUCAUUUCAACCCUCAAGCCCCCGGGCUUGGUGUUGGGGAUCGGCGAGCCUCCGCGCCCGCCGUCCCCUAAAUCUAGUGGCGGUCUCGCUGUAGCUUCCUCUGCGUAGUAGCACACCUCGCACUGGGAAACAGCGCGGCCACGCCGUUAAACCCCCAACUUCUGAACGUUUGACCUCGGAUCAGGUAGGAAUACCCGCUGAACUUAAGCAUAUCAAUAAGCGGAGGA